rnacentral:rRNA from 1 species
GUAGUCUCGCACAGAUGCAUAUCAAUAAGCGGAGGAAAAGAAACUAACAAGGAUUCCCCUAGUAACGGCGAGUGAAGCGGGAAGAGCUCAAAUUUGAAAUCUUAAAGGGUUUCCCUUUACGAAUUGUAGUUUAAAGAAGUGUUUUCUGUUGAGGUUUUGGUAAAAGUUCUUUGGAAUAGGACAUCAUAGAGGGUGAGAAUCCCGUAUUUGACCUUUACUUUCAACUUUGUGAUACACUUUCAAAGAGUCGGAUUGUUUGGGAAUGCAGUCCAAAAUGGGUGGUAAAUUUCAUCUAAAGCUAAAUAUUGGCGAGAGACCGAUAGCGAACAAGUACCGUGAGGGAAAGAUGAAAAGAACUUUGAAAAGAGAGUUAAACAGUACGUGAAAUUGUCAAAAGGGAAGCGUUUGACACCAGUGUUGUUUUUCUGAAAAUCAAUUAAAGAACUGUUUAUGCUAAGCUGUUUAGACUUUAUCAGCUAUCUGUUUAGUUUUGAGCUUUUCUUUAAUGCACUUUUCAGUUAACAAGUCAACAUCAAUUUCUUUUGCUGUAAAAAAGCUUGAGGAAGGUGGCUUGAGAUUCGUCUUAAGUGUUUAUAGCCUCUUGCCUAUGCAGUCGGAGAGAUUGAGGUCUGCAGCGUAGAUCCUUCGGGGCUAAAUGCAUUUGUGCUAAGUUAUAGCAUUUUAUAGACAACUUGUUGACUAUGAUUUGUCUUGUAGCUUACUCGCUUAUGUUAUUUUACCUACGCUUAGGAUGUUGAAGACUCUACAGAGAUA